UACCCGCAGCACAAGUGGUGUCAUUAUUAUUGGGCCUAAAGCGUCCGUAGCUGGCCUGUUAGAUGCCUGGGUAAAUCGAUGCGCUCAACGUAUCGAACUCCGGGUAGACCGGCAGGCUUGGGACCGGGAGAGGCGUGAGCUACUCGGGGGGUAGGGGUAAAAUCCUGUAAUCCUCCGGGGAGGACCAGUGGCGAAGGCGUCACGCUAGAACGGCUCCGACAGUGAGGGACGAAGCCCUGGGGCGCAAACCGG
rnacentral:rRNA from 1 species